AGAGUUUGAUCCUGGCUCAGGACGAACGCUGGCGGCGUGCUUAACACAUGCAAGUCGAACGAUGAACCACUUCGGUGGGGAUUAGUGGCGAACGGGUGAGUAACACGUGGGCAAUCUGCCCUGCACUCUGGGACAAGCCCUGGAAACGGGGUCUAAUACCGGAUACUGACCCUCGCAGGCAUCUGCGAGGUUCGAAAGCUCCGGCGGUGCAGGAUGAGCCCGCGGCCUAUCAGCUUGUUGGUGAGGUAAUGGCUCACCAAGGCGACGACGGGUAGCCGGCCUGAGAGGGCGACCGGCCACACUGGGACUGAGACACGGCCCAGACUCCUACGGGAGGCAGCAGUGGGGAAUAUUGCACAAUGGGCGAAAGCCUGAUGCAGCGACGCCGCGUGAGGGAUGACGGCCUUCGGGUUGUAAACCUCUUUCAGCAGGGAAGAAGCGAAAGUGACGGUACCUGCAGAAGAAGCGCCGGCUAACUACGUGCCAGCAGCCGCGGUAAUACGUAGGGCGCAAGCGUUGUCCGGAAUUAUUGGGCGUAAAGAGCUCGUAGGCGGCUUGUCACGUCGGUUGUGAAAGCCCGGGGCUUAACCCCGGGUCUGCAGUCGAUACGGGCAGGCUAGAGUUCGGUAGGGGAGAUCGGAAUUCCUGGUGUAGCGGUGAAAUGCGCAGAUAUCAGGAGGAACACCGGUGGCGAAGGCGGAUCUCUGGGCCGAUACUGACGCUGAGGAGCGAAAGCGUGGGGAGCGAACAGGAUUAGAUACCCUGGUAGUCCACGCCGUAAACGGUGGGCACUAGGUGUGGGCAACAUUCCACGUUGUCCGUGCCGCAGCUAACGCAUAAGUG
rnacentral:rRNA from 1 species